rnacentral:rRNA from 1 species
GACGAACGCUAGCUACAGGCUUAACACAUGCAAGUCGAGCGGAAACGACAUCGAAAGCUUGCUUUUGAUGGGCGCCGACCGGUGCACGGGUCGUUAAUGCGUAUCCCAUCUGCCCAUCAUUUGGGCAUAACCUUGCGGCUAUAAGACUAAUACCCAAUGAUAUCCCACGUAGGCAUCGGAAUGGGUCUAAAGUUUUAUCGGUGCUGGAUGCGGAUGCGUCUGAUUAGCUUGUUGACGGGGUAAAGGCCCACCAAGGCAACGAUCAGUAGGGGUUCUGAGAGGAAGCGCCCCGACAGGGGAACUGAGACACGGGCCACAGUGCUACGGGAGACAGCAGUGAGGGAUAUAGGAGAGGGGGCGAGAGCCUGAACCAGCCAAGUAGCGUGCAGGAAGGCGGCCCUAUGGAUUGUAAACUGCUUUUAGAAGGGAAUAAAGUGGGGCGCGGGUGCCUUUGUGCAGGUACCUGAUAAAUAAGGACCGGCUAAUUCCGUG